GGCCCCUUCGUCUAGCGGUUCAGGACAUUGGCCUCUCACGCCGAAGAUCACGGGUUCGAAUCCCGUAGGGGUCACCA
rnacentral:tRNA from 1 species